CGAGGCAAAGGAGAGGUGGGAUGGGUGAAGAACUCUUGGAGGGAGGACCAGAAAGGAGGGCAACAUUUAGAAAGUAAAUAAAUAAUUUAAAAGGAGAGAGAAUAGGACAGAAAGGGAUAGAGGGCAUCUAGAGUCUCCCUUCAGCUUCCAUGCACCAUGCACCCUCACCCCAUCUCUCUCUCUCUCUCUCUCUCUCUCUCUCUCUCUCUCUCUCUCUCACCCACACACACGCAUGCACACGCGCACGCGCACACACACAUAUGAGGGGGAAGGAGAAAGAGAGGGGUAUGGAGCGGGGAGAAGGAAUGCACACCUCGCUGUGUUAACCCUGGCUGACCUCCUGCCUCAGCCUUUCCAGGGCUGGGGUUACAGGUCCACCUUACCACGCCUGCUUGUGCCGCUCCAUCACUGCUAUGAGUGGACCAAACAACAUUCAUUACUAAAGCCACAGACUGCUUUGAGGGUUCCUUUCCUCCUCUCUCCCUCUCUCUCUCCCUUCCUUCCUUCCUUCCUUUCUUUCUUUAAACUCUGGUUGCCACACCCCAUUGGGUUCUGCUCUCACUGAUUCCUAAACAACAGGGUAGAUGACCUGGCCCCGCCCUACCUGGUAACUCAGCCAGUAUGUCUGAGUCUGAAAGGAGUGAAUGUCUUCUCCAGAAAGAAAAUAGAAUGGGAACCCAGGACUAACAGCCCUUUCUGUUCCCAGGAUCAUGUUGAUAGAAGUAUUUGCUACUGGCAUAUGUUUGCAAAAGCUAGGCUCUGAAAGGUCACCUUGAAGACUGACAAGUUCAUACAGACUCAAGAUAAGACUGAUGUUUUCUUUGUAGUUAGGGUGAACUGAUAUGCGAUUUGUCAGAUUAGCUGUAGUUUGAGUGUCCAGCCACUAGGGGCCGACCUAACUCCACAAAACCAUACUAUUUUCUAAGCCAUUUCAUGUAUAUUGCAUCAGUCUCCAAGAUGACUGGAUUUCAUUAUUCAUGAGCUGUGAUGCCUAGAACCACGCUGCCUAAUAGCAAGAGCCUGGAUGUUUGAAAUGAGAGGGUAUGUCAAGUUCAUGUUCAAAGGCAGUGGUGAGCAUGGAUAACAAACGGGACCAGAAGCAGCACAUCUCAGAGCCGAGCACGGUGGUUCACUUCAGUGUGGCGGCAAUCUCAGGGAAGCUUACCUAUCAGCCUCCAGCUUGUCCCCACAGGAUCAGAAACCCCAGGGCUGACUCCUCUGCCCAGCCAAAGUCCAAGCAACAUGUGUUAAAGGAGAGGAAACUGAGGCUCAGGAAGGACAGAAGCCCUGGCUGUCUCCUUCCCAAGUCAGUACAGAACAUCCUCACUGUCUGCUUCUGCGAGGGAACCCUGUGUGCACCAGCUCACCAUCAUCUGAACCUCCAAACACUUACGAUUUGGUUUCUGACAGUCUUCCUUAAUGAUCUGGUAGAUCUUCUGGUGCAGGUCUUUGUCCUUACUGGUAACCUAGAAAGGAGAAUCCAGAGAGGAAACGUGGUUUGGGAACACAGCAGUGUGUCACUCGGAAUUCAAGACCAGCCUUUGAGGCAAUUCUACAAAUUCUGUAACAAUCACGAGCCUUCCCUACACACCCUCCCCCAGUGCCCUCCCCCACCGAUGUGAUUCGAUGCUUGGUAACUUCCUGCAGCUCUCAGGAGCUGGUUCCUUAGGGCCAGAGGGGAAAUACAGCUGGAAUGUUGUGCCUUGGAGGGGCAGUUGCCCUUUUCUACACUUGUGGCCCACUCGGACAGACACUCCACUUACUUGCCUGUUGUUUUUGAAGGAGCUCAAAUGCUCCGAGCCAGCCCUCUGUCCCAGCCCUCCUUCCUCUCGGUCCCUUCCCCUAUCUUCUAUUUCUUUAGUUUUCCUUCUUCUAAGUACAAGGAAGAAUUAAGGAAGAGAUGGCCACGGGAAGUUAGCAAGCUAGAGAAUCCAGUUUAUCUGUGGAUGCGCUCUCAGCUCUUGUGGCAGACACAGCCAUGUUUCUCAACUAGCAGCAGGUUUCACCCUCAGCUCCAGCAGGAAAUCUAAUAACAAGAGAGAAGAGAGAAGGCAGGAGAGGGAAGAGAGGCAGAGAAGAGGGAGAGAGGGAGGGGAGGGCAACCAAAGGAAGAGGAGAGGGAGGGAGGAAGAGAAGGGAAGAGGGAAGGAAGGGAUGAGUAUGUAAAAGGAGAGAGGAGGAAGGAAGGAGGAAGAGCCCAAGCCUGGAAUCACCAGGGAAGAGCUGGGUGGUAGAGACAGUCCAUGGCCGCCCGAGACCUGAUGACUAUCGACUCACAAGACUAGUAUGAAGGUAAACCGAGAGUGCAGACAGAACUAUGGGCAUGCUGCAACUAUGUCCCCAGCGGGGCUUCAGGAGAGAGGAAACCCACAAACUGGGGAUGAGUAGAAGGGAGGGUUAGCCACAGAAGGGGGCAUGGGAUCUACCCCUGUUUGAUCCCUCAGCUCUUGCUGAUUCACAGGAGGAAGUGCCGAGCCCUGCCACACCUCGCCCCUGGGCAGCUGCAGUGGCCCUGGCUGCUUCCCAGGAAGGGCUGCUCUCCACAGACCCUCAUAGAAGCCAACCCAGGGUAGGAGGAGGCACAGAUCUCUAAGAGGACUCCAGCUUGGCUUCCCUGCCUAGUGUGACAACGGUCACCAAGUCCUGCUUGGCCUCCCAUCCCAGGGUCCACAAGAUCAUCCACUCCUGCCAACCCUGGAGACCAAGUCUUUACACAGACCUCCGGGAGACUUUGAUCUAGACCUUAGCCAAAACGCAACAGCGUUAGGGGGUGGGACUGAACAGGAGGUAUUCAGAGCCAGACAGUGUGAAUGAGUCAAUGCUACCAUGAGAGUGCACAGGGCUUCUCUCUGUUUGCUCUUUGGCCAUGAGAGGAACACUCUGGAGGGAGCAACGCUCAAGGAGCCAUCUUGGAGGUGGAGAUUGGCCUUCACCAAGCAUCAGAGCCUGCAGGUACUUUGGCUUUCCCAACCUCCAGGCCCGACAGACAAACUGCCAUAAACUACUAGAGUAUUCUGUGGAACAGUUCUGUGAUGAUCGGUCUUCACUGUCAACUAGACUGGAUCUAGAAUCACCAUGGAAACACACUCUGGGUACGUCUGUGAGGAUGUCUCCAGAGAGAAUUAAUGAGAUGAAAUCCACCCACCCUGAAUCUGAGCUGUUUACUCCACAGGCUGCGAUCCCCGCCUGCAGAUAGACAGAAGGAGAAAGCGGUGGACAGUGGCAUUCAUCUUCCUCUGCUUCCUGUGCAUGUAGGGUGACCACAUACAUCACUCGCCUGCCUCCAUGCCUUCCCUGACAAACUAUGAGCAGAAACACCAUGCUCCUUCUGACAGCCGGGCAUGGUGGCAUGUGCAUUUAACCCUAGCAAUCGGAAGGCAGAGGCAGGUAGAUCUCUGAGUUUAAGGCUGGCAUAGUGAGUUCAGGCCAGCCAGUGUGAUCUACCCGACUUAGCCCCCGGAAAAGUUCCUUUAUCAGGUAUUCUGUCACAGUGAUUGGAAAAGUAGUUAACCUAAGCACAGACUAGGAUACGUCGCCCAGACCACACAGAGCUGACUGUCUCACAGCUUUAUUUCCUGCCUUCUAAGCAAAGCAGAGCCUCCAACUUAGAUGUUGCCACAUUAGGAACAGGCAAGCUAAGAUUACACAGGUAACCCUAAGUAUCAGAAAGUAAACAAAUGAGCACCCACUGGCCAGUGCAGCCAAAGGGAAGUCGUGAUUCUGACACAAAAUAUGGUGAAAAAUGAGGAGAGCUCCUGAGCACACAGCGUCCCUGCGGCAUCCAGCAUGAACCAACAGACCGGGGGAGAGGCACUGGAUCGAGAAACUUGAUAGUCGUGCAUGGACGCCUCAUUCUUCUGGUAACAACAGAACCAAAGACAGUGCUGGUGUCUGUGACUUUUAAGAGCCUGAAAGGAACGCUGGCACUGCAUAACGCCCUAUCAGUAAUUAUGAACUUGGUUUAAUUUUUUAAAAAAUUAACUGUUAGAUGUACUGUUUUGCCUGAACGCAUCUGUAUGUACAUGCACGCCCGGCGUCUGAGGAAACCAGAAGAGGGGUUUGGAUUGCCUGGAGCUGAGUCAUGGAGAGCUGAGAGCCUAUGUGAGGGCUGGGAACCGAACAUGGAAACUUUAAAGGUUACUUAAAGGGCUGGAGGCAAGGUUCAGUGGUUCAGAGCACUUUCUGCCCUUGACGAUGACCCAGGUUGGGUUCCAAGCACCAACAUGGUGGCUUACAACCCUUUGUAACUCCAGUCUAGGGGAUCCAACACCCUCUUCUGGCUUCUGUAGGCCUUGCACACAUAUGCUACACAGGUAUACAUCCAAGUACAACACCCAUACAUAUAAAAUAAAGUAAAUAAACUUUAAAAAAUUA